rnacentral:rRNA from 1 species
AUACGGAGGGGGCUAGCGUUGUUCGGAAUUACUGGGCGUAAAGCGCGCGUAGGCGGAUCGUUAAGUCAGGGGUGAAAGCCCGGAGCUCAACUCCGGAACUGCCCUUGAUACUGGCGAUCUCGAGUCCGGGAGAGGUGAGCGGAAUUCCUAGUGUAGAGGUGAAAUUCGUAAAUAUUAGGAGGAACACCAGUGGCGAAGGCGGCUCACUGGCCCGGUACUGACGCUGAGGUGCGAAAGCGUGGGGAGCAAACAGGAUUAGAAACCCUAGUAGUCC